AAACUCAUGGUAGUCUCUGCGAUCUCCAGAGAAGGGCCUGAGGGAGGGCAGGCGACCUUCGUUGAUAGCCUGCAUCAUGAGCCUUUCUGCCACUCUCUGUUGUUCUUUUAGGUCCUGCAUCCGGAGGAACAGCGAGAUGACGUUCCCCAUGGUGGCCACGACUUCUUCUGGAGAGUUCUUGGGCUGACCUUCCUCUUCACCAUCUUCCUCUUCCUCCUCUUCCUCGUCAUCUCCCAGGUAUCCUGCUUGGACCCCUAAGAACUUGAGACAGUACCACCGUGUAGCCACCGUGCCACGGACAUUAAGGCUCUGCUGAGGGUAACCCAGAGAUAAGAUGCUUUCUCCCAGGAAGGGAGCAGUUGCCUGGCCCAGGAUCACAGAAAAAGCUAUGGCUCACUGCCCCUCAGGGGGCAGGGGGCUGGUGAUUCCUGAGGGAGCCCUGCUCGCUUCCAGGGUGAAUUGUCCGAAGUCACCAUGGAAAACCAGCAGCCCAGAAUCAGUGCCCUGCCAGGCAGAAUUGCUUGGCCAUAACAAAGACCCAUUGCCUUUCUGAUGACACUCAGCACCUCGGAUUCUGUAUACACGGGAGGUGAUUUAAGCAUCUUACUGCCACCCUGAAAUCCGGGGUCCUUUAUCCUGGCAGGUAAGACCCUUUUGUGUUUCCCUGACACUUGACUUCGGAGACCGCCCCUCUAAGCAGAGGGCCAUGUCGCCUGCUGCGUGUUGCUGGGCUGGUCGUCCUCACAGGAUUUUCCCUUGUUCUCAGCAUCUAGACCUAACGCCCACUUCAGAAUGGGAGGGAGGAUGUCUGCUGCCCUGUCGUCUCCACACCCGAGGAAUGUCCAUGUGUGUGUGUGUGUGUGGUGUGCACAGCGGGCUGCACACAGCGGGCUGCACGGUGCUCGAAUGGCGGCCCUAAUGUGAAUGGAGACUAGCCUGCUGGUAGAGACCUUGGCAGUGACCGCUGUGGGCAAUGAGCCAUGGGCCAACAAUAUUCAAUGCUGUGUACCUGAUGGAUGGUCACUGUCUGAGGCUGAAGCUUUUGGGGCCAGGAGUAAAAGGACUUGGUUUGUGCUCGAUUGCAUCCUGUGGGUGCUUGCCUACCAACUGACUCAUCCCGACGUGCCAAAGGCCCUGGCUUUCACCUGUGUGGGUAAGGGAAGAAGAGAUUUCUAAUGCUCACAGAUAGCUGCUGACUUACUGAGUUUUACUAAGAAACAAAAUCACACACGGUAGCUCUACACAUAAGGAACAGAGAGGAUGUUGGGAGUGAGAUACCAGGACCCCUGAUAUAAUUAUUUCCUAUGGAACCAUUGUCCUGAGUCAGGAGCAUAGAUGAGGAAAGAAUGAGCGUGGCUGGCAUCGCUUCAUGAUUACAUUCUGGGAAAGAUCUUGCCUGUUAACCGCUAGAGAAGGAGGGAUGAUGCAGACAAUGAAGACUAGCAGACUGAAUUACUCUCUGAGAUGAGGAGUUUGCUAUUGCCAUUGCAGAGCUACUGGUGGAGGUUGUUGUUAAACAGCGGGUCUUGCAUGCAAGCUCUACAGUUAUGCACAGUAUUUCCAUGACAUCCCAAGCCAUAGGUCCAUGCUGCUGUAUUCCCCUGUUUAACAAGUGUGGAAACUGAUUUACAGGAACAAAGCAUCCCAUAUGCAAUCAGUCAGCUCCAUUCUGUUUUCACCGGCCCCUGCUGAGAUCUACACACUCACUUCUGGCUGAGAAGACACAGAAUGCACUCACAAUGGCUGAUGUAUCUAAUGUUUUCUAUUGUGGACACAGGACACCCAGACUGAGAACCAAUGGCUCCGGUCUGAUUUAAACAUGGGUCCGUGCUCACACACUCAAUACCUACCCUCUGUGCUCACAAGUCCUGUGUGAGUAAUACUCCAAAUUAUUCUGUCUUGUUUUGCUCAAUGGUAUCCUCUAUCUUAUUAUAGAGUAUACCAUGUAUUGAGACAAGAAUGCCAGUCAUUCUGAGAAACAAAAUGCAACCAUUGAUUGUCAUUUUAAUUAGUGACAAAUAGUUGUGUCGAUCAUCAAACAUGCUUGUAUAAUUGGAUGAGAAGAGGUGUAACACGGGCCAAUGAUGACGAGGUUUCGGGAUUAUAAGUCACGGACGGACGAUGACUACGUCACUAGAGGUCUGAGGUCCACAGCAGAAGGUGCCUCAUGUGACCCUCUCAUGAAGGGGUUGCAAGUCAGGCAUGUGCACACAGUAGAUAUUAGCCAUGCACUCUCACCAUUUCAUAGUAGAUCACAGAAUCAAGAUUCAAAUCUCCAUGCACUGAAAAGGAUUUAAGGCAUUGAUCAAUACUGAAUAUAAAUAUUUGACCAUCAAUGAUAUUUACGCACACACUGAAAAAUCUAGUCAGAAUGACUUACACAAAGGUUUAUAUAACCUUUAUCCAAGGUUAUUUAUAUAGUAAAAUUCUUAAGUCUUUAUGAUGGUCAAGGCCUUAAUUUUAAAAAUUAUCAAUUUUUUUCUUUUGAAUUUUUUUAAGAAAAUUAUCAUGACAAUUUGUCUCUUAAAUGAAAGGAGAAAUGUAAAACUAAAUGGACAAAUAUCAAUCUUCUUAUUAUCUUUGCUGUCCUGUCCUCCCUGGAUGGGUGCUGACACAUUUCUUGCCUGCUGGUCCGUGGUUGCACUCUCACCAUGUGGAUGGAGCUCGGCAACUGAAAAUGCAUUCUGCCACCGAGAUGAUUUACACAGCCUAGCGUGAUCAGGAGCCCCCUAAUAAGCUGCUCCCGAUUGUAAUAUAGACACAGUAAUGUACGCCUGCAGGCGGACUCCCACCUUCCUCGUUACUCUUGAGGUUUGAGAUUCCCUGUUUGUGUCUGCAGGAUUCAGAUAGUAAUGGAUAUCCUACAAGCCGACUUCGUAGAGUCUCCCUUGAAAGUGGACCUCGUGAUCUAGCCUUUAUGUCCGUGGAUAGACACUGUAAUGGAUUCCCCCAAGCUGAUGUAUAUAUACACUUCCUCGGUUUCGAGAUUCCUGCUCUGGUGGUUGUAGUCAUAAGAUAUACAUAGUUGUGUAGUCAUUGCUCACAUCUUGGUUGUGGGCACACACACUAGUGUUGAAUUACCACCUUGUCCAAGUGGAUGGAUGCCCUCAAUGGGAUUGGCACAUUCUCCAUUGCUCCUGCGCUCUGUUAUCAGCACUUCGGGUUUAUAAUGUACACACAGCAACAGAUGCCUUCCUCACUGGUCACCAGGUUCACGGUCCCUCAUAUGUGUCCGGUGCAUAGUCACCAAAAAAGGCCAACUUCAGAUCAAUGGGUGGAUCGGAUUGUACCUCGGCCUAAGCUCCAGGGUUGAUUGUGCUGUUACAGUCACAGCUACAACCGGCUCAGGGAACCCAGUAGAAGAGGAGGUGGAGUGUGAGAGUCAAUUGGAAUGGAAGACAUUGAGGAAACAAGGCCUUCAA